rnacentral:rRNA from 1 species
UACGGAGGGGGCUAGCGUUGUUCGGAAUUACUGGGCGUAAAGCGCACGUAGGCGGCUUUGUAAGUUAGAGGUGAAAGCCCGGGGCUCAACUCCGGAAUUGCCUUUAAGACUGCAUCGCUAGAAUUGUGGAGAGGUAAGUGGAAUUCCGAGUGUAGAGGUGAAAUUCGUAGAUAUUCGGAAGAACACCAGUGGCGAAGGCGACUUACUGGACACAUAUUGACGCUGAGGUGGCGAAAAGCGGUGGGGAGCAAACAGG